rnacentral:rRNA from 1 species
UACACGCUGUGACUAGCAUAUCAAUAAGCGGAGGAAAAGAAACUAACAAGGAUUCCCCUAGUAACGGCGAGUGAAGCGGGAAGAGCUCAAAUUUGAAAUCUUAAAGGGUUUCCCUUUACGAAUUGUAGUUUAAAGAAGUGUUUUCUGUUGAGGUUUUGGUAAAAGUUCUUUGGAAUAGGACAUCAUAGAGGGUGAGAAUCCCGUAUUUGACCUUUACUUUCAACUUUGUGAUACACUUUCAAAGAGUCGGAUUGUUUGGGAAUGCAGUCCAAAAUGGGUGGUAAAUUUCAUCUAAAGCUAAAUAUUGGCGAGAGACCGAUAGCGAACAAGUACCGUGAGGGAAAGAUGAAAAGAACUUUGAAAAGAGAGUUAAACAGUACGUGAAAUUGUCAAAAGGGAGGCGUCUGACACCAGUGUUGUUUUUCUGAAAAUCAAUUAAAGAACUGUUUAUGCUAAGUUGUUUAGACUUUAUCAGCUAUCUGUUUAGUUUUGAGCUUUUCUUUAAUGCACUUUUCAGUUAACAAGUCAACAUCAAUUUCUUUUGCUGUAAAAAGCUUGAGGAAGGUGGCUUGAGAUUCGUCUUAAGUGUUUAUAGCCUCUUGCCUAUGCAGUCGGAGAGAUUGAGGUCUGCAGCGUAGAUCCUUCGGGGCUAAAUGCAUUUGUGCUAAGUUAUAGCAUUUUAUAGACAACUUGUUGACUAUGAUUUGUCUUGUAGCUUACUCGCUUAUGUUAUUUUACCUACGCUUAGGAUGUUGACGAGACUGUCGAUCUC